rnacentral:misc_RNA from 1 species
GAUGAAGAACACAGCGAAAUGCGAUAAGUAAUGUGAAUUGCAGAAUUCAGUGAAUCAUCGAAUCUUUGAACGCACCUUGCACCCUUUGGCAUUCUGAAGGGUAUGCUCGUUUGAGUGUCAUUGUACUCUCACACUCCCGAUCUUUGCAUUGGGAGCAGUGGACUUGGGUUUGCUGCUUCACCGUCGCUUACCUCAAAUAGGUUAGUGCAACUCUUGGUUGGACAUAGUACGGCGUGAUAAGUGUUCUUCGCCGGUGCCUCGCAAAGAGGGUGGCCGAUCGGGAUGUUGUGCUCCAAACCGUCUUCGGACAAUCUCUGACGACUUGACCUCAAAUCGAGUAAGACUACCCGCUGAACUUAAGCAUAUCAAUAAGCGGAGGA